GCCUAACCGACUGAGCCACCCAGGUGUCCGAGGAGGAUGUAUUUGAUGGCAGAGUUGAACUGGAGGGAGACAGGGGUGACAUAUGUGAGGACAUUUCAA